rnacentral:lncRNA from 7 species
ACAGUUGCGCGCGGUAGGCCGCAUCUGGAAGCCUCCCCUCAGCGCUCGGAAGGACCAACUCAAGCUUUUCCAUCGUUCAAUCCUUGUUAGACAAAGCUAUUCUAAGGCUGUAUUUGUUUGAGAAAGAAUAUCACUGCAUCAAGUACGAUCUUCUACAGACAGGAGAAACUGUAGCAGAACUGCUAUAUGCUAUUUCUUUUCAAGAAAGAAUUCACAGUUCUCUAAUACAUACCCAAAAAUCAGAGCUUUCCACAUUUGAGAAAUAUAGAAACUUCAGCUUAAAAUACUGACUUCACCAGCUAUCGAUCAGAAAAUACGUUGCCUCUAGCACUGCUGAACAGGAGGAUGCCAAAAUAAUUAAAGCUACAGCCUUAAGUGAGCGCAUUAAAUAUUACAUACUUGUUCUAGAAAGCUCUGGGAGUAUUAGAAGUCACAAUCUGAGGAAAAAGAAAGCAGUUUAAAACCACAGAAAACAAAAAAAAUGAAGUACUCCAUGCUCAAGAAAUCCUUAUCUGUGCUCUGCGUUCUCAAAGGAUUUCAGCGCUGCAUUCAGUGAUAGUUUGUCUCAGCAGCUGUAUUACAGUGUUUGAAAAGGUUGCACAGGACCAGAAGUUAUGUAAAACAGCUGGACUAAAAUACAACCGUCUGUUCAGAAGACUCAAUGGCCUGCAGCGUAACUCCAGCAUGUUCUUAUGGACCAUGGAAAUAAAUCCAGUCGGCCUUCCAAGAGGACUACCCUGGAUUAAAAAGCCUUUUAAUCAAGAUCAACACCACCCAUACAGAGGGAAAGUUAUAAAUGAGAAGGACUUAGAAGAAUACCUCUUGGAGAAAUGUAGAGGUAGGUUGGUCAUUAUCUAAAACUUUCACUAACUUUAUUAUUUAGCAAACUAUCUACUUGCAAAAAAUAUUGCUGCACAGUAGUGACCAUGCUCCAAAUUCUCACAUUACAGAUUAAAGGAAAAGUACAGGACUUUCAGAUUGGGCUAUCACUAUUUUAACUGGCAGAACUAUAUGCAUUUUUUAGGAAAGACUUGAAUAUCCUUUUUCACUAGAUACCAGCAAGAGGAAACAAGCUUAGGUUGGUGAAAAAUACAUCACUAGAAUUCAGUGCUUUACAAACAUGUGCUCUGAACAUCCUGAAGAACAUGCGUGCAUCCAGACAGAAAGCUAGCCAAGGUUCAAUUGUACACUGCAGAUUAAACAAAAAUAAGUAACACGUUAAGUAUGAAACAAACUAAAGAGGUCUAACUUUUGAGGAGAAUUCUAAAUGAAAACAUCUGUUAUAUCACCAAAAGAGAAUUUUACCACAUUUCUUGCUUAAUUCAUUCUUAUUAGGAGAUAAUAGUUUUCUUAUUCUGUUUAACAAUAGACGUAGAAUACUUUUCUUUCACCACUGCAACUGGUAUAAUGUUUAACAGCGUCUCAAUCACGACACUGUUUCAUUUUUGCUUUAGGAUGUGACAGCAAUGAACAAAAAGCACAAGUUUUCAAGGUGUUUAUAACGCUGCUUGAAAAGUAUACAUAGCCUGUUUCAAAAUCUUAGGUUUACACACUGUUUUUCAGCUUAAAUUGUCACAAUUUUAAGCUCAGAAGGAUUUCUCAGUUAACUGGAAAUAUAUUAACAAAGUAUUGUUUUCUGAGGAAAAAAAGACAUUAGGCUUCAAGUAUUAAGUAGACCCAACAGACAGCAGGUAUAAGAAAUAUAUUCUGUCAUUCGAUCUAUUCUGGUAGUAGCAUAGCCAUGAAAAACUCCUCGUCCCAACCUGCAUAAACAGGAAAAAACCCAAAGAGAAGACAGGCCUCCUUUCCAUUGGAAUAGUAGGAUUCCAUCAAUUGUACUUAAAAUAUUUUAAGAACUUGAAAAGGCCUUUGUGUAAUUAGAUAAAGAAUCUCAAGUGUCAGCUUAGCAAAGCUUAGUUUUAUCAUACAGCAAUCUAAAAAUCCCACUGUAUAUGCAAAACAUAAUUUGAACAAAUCCAACUGUAAAACAAUGGUAAAACCCACAAAUACUAUUAUCUAGCAUGAUAGACAGACCAUUCUUACAGCCUCCAGCCAAAUAAAAACAAUGGUUCUGUUCAGUUUGCAAAAUUUCUCUUAAAACUUGUUAGUGGCUCUGCAUAGACUGCUGUAUGUCACCCAGCAUCCUCAGGACAGCUCUCAUGUCACUUAAGAAGUGCUGGAGACCUGAACACAUAUACAUAAGAUAAGGGCAAAGUCCAGAGCCAAUGAAGCCGUGAAGUUUAGAAAACAGCAGCAUCAUCAUCACUUAGACAUAGAGCCUCUCUCAAAUACGUGGUAGUACAAUGUUGUUUUGAUCAUCUUUUAUUUCUGCCAUGCCCUGGGGAAGCAUAAAGCAUGAUUUGCCAUUGAUCCUGUUAUAACCUAAAUAUACUGCUGUUCGGCAGAGACAAACAGCAGUAUGAACUAACGUGAUUUUGCAGUUUUAAAUAAGGUAGUCUGAACUAGCAAGCUAAGGAAACAAUUGCCCGUUCAAUAGGUCAGCAAUUUUAACAGGACAACUUAGAGUCUUGCUCAAGAAGGAUAGAGAAAACAGCCUAACAAAUGAGAUUAUUCCAACACUGUCUAAAAGGUAUUUUUAUCUUGUUCAACCUAGCAGUCCAUCCUCUCCAUCAUUAAAAGAUCUCAGAAGAACUACACAUUAAAUUCUUACAGUUAGACAGCACAAAGCCCUCAGAGAUGUGCACUACCUUACCCAUUGACUUAGAAUUCCUAUUUGAAUUAGAAAAAAAUGCAGACGUUUUUCACACCAGCUGGCAGCUGAGCAGAAGCAGAUCAUUUACUGCAUGAAGAGAUCCUUCAUCAGCAAUUGCCUCACUUACCCAUACAACUAGAACAUAACCGUGUUGAAGUCUGUAAAUACAAACCAGUCCUAGAGGUGACAUUUUUUGUUUGCUUUAAGUUUUUUGAAUACUAUGCAGAUAGAGCAAAAUGUAUUUAAUGCUGAAAAUUUUCACUCUAUGUACACAUUUUUUUCCUAAUUAAUUCAAUAGAUGGAGGUCAGGCAAUUGGGGAAAUUGUAUUCAGGGAAGAAAACCCAAACCCAACAACUACAUGCAGAAUAUAAGAGUUAGCAGCACUGGAAUAGCAAGGAAUAAGAAGUUCAGAUAUAGUUUCCUGCACUUUUUCAAGUUUGUUCUUUAGGAAAGCAAACACUAGUGGAACACAAAAAUAAUCAGCUGCCCAUUGUGGUACUCAGGGAAAUAACUAAAAAAAAUACUACCUACAACUAACAUUCUCUACUUACCAUCAGUCUAGACACAACUACAUUCCUUCCAGGAGACAGAACAGUGAUGAAAUAACAGAUCAUUUCAGACCAGUGUCUUUCAGUCAGAGUAACAGCAACAAUGGCAAAAAUAAGAGGAAUAAAGAUACUUUCUAAAAU